rnacentral:tRNA from 1 species
UCCCUGGUGGUCCAGUGGCUAAGACUCUGAGCUACCGAUGCAGGGAGCCCUGGUUCUAUUCCUGGUCGGGGAA